AACCAACAGGGAUUGCCCUAGUAACGGCGAGUGAAGCGGCAACAGCUCAAAUUUGAAAUCUGGCUCUUUUAGAGUCCGAGUUGUAAUUUGCAGAGAGCGCUUUGGCGUUGGCAGCGGUCCAAGUUCCUUGGAACAGGACGUCACAGAGGGUGAGAAUCCCGUACGUGGUCGCUAACCUUCGCCGUGUAAAGCCUCUUCGACGAGUCGAGUUGUUUGGGAAUGCAGCUCUAAAUGGGAGGUAAAUUUCUUCUAAAGCUAAAUACUGGCCAGAGACCGAUAGCGCACAAGUAGAGUGAUCGAAAGAUGAAAAGCACUUUGGAAAGAGAGUCAAACAGCACGUGAAAUUGUUGAAAGGGAAGCGCUUGCAGCCAGACUUGCCCGCAGUUGCUCAUCCGAACUUUUGUUCGGUGCACUCUUCUGCGGGCAGGCCAGCAUCAGUUUGGGCGGUUGGAUAAAGGUCUCUGUCAUGUACCUCCUCUCGGGGAGGCCUUAUAGGGGAGACGACAUGCAACCAGCCUGGACUGAGGUCCGCGCAUCUGCUAGGAUGCUGGCGUAAUGGCUGUAAGCGGCCCGUCUUGAAACACGGACCAAGGAGUCUAACAUCUAUGCGAGUGUUUGGGUGUCAAGCCCGAGCGCGUAAUGAAAGUGAACGGAGGUGGGAACCCUUAAGGGUGCACCAUCGACCGAUCCUGAUGUCUUCGGAUGGAUUUGAGUAAGAGCAUGGCUGUUGGGACCCGAAAGAUGGUGAACUAUGCUUGAAUAGGGUGAAGCCAGAGGAAACUCUGGUGGAGGCUCGCAGCGGUUCUGACGUGCAAAUCGAUCGUCAAAUUUGGGCAUAGGGGCGAAAGACUAAUCGAA
rnacentral:rRNA from 1 species